CCUACGGGAGGCAGCAGUGAGGAAUAUUGGUCAAUGGGCGGAAGCCUGAACCAGCCAAGUCGCGUGAGGGAAUAAGGCCCUACGGGUCGUAAACCUCUUUUGCCGGGGAGCAAGGGCGGGGUCGUGUCCCGGCCCGGAGAGUCCCCGGAGAAAAAGCAUCGGCUAACUCCGCGCCAGCAGCCGCGGUAAUACGGGGGAUGCGAGCGUUAUCCGGAUUUAUUGGGUUUAAAGGGCGCGUAGGCGGGCUUUUAAGUCAGCGGUAAAAAGUCGGGGCUCAACCCCGUCCGGCCGUUGAAACUGGGGGCCUUGAGUGGGGGAGAAGAAGGCGGAAUGCGUGGUGUAGCGGUGAAAUGCAUAGAUAUCACGCAGAACACCGAUUGCGAAGGCAGCCUGCCGGCGCCCUACUGACGCUGAGGCACGAAAGUGCGGGGAUUGAACAGGAUUAGAUACCCCUGUAGUC
rnacentral:rRNA from 1 species